CGAAGAUUAGCAGCAGCUCGGCUGAACAACGAUACUGAUGAUGAAAAGGCCAAAAGGAGGCUCUCCGAAAAUCCGUGACGUAACAUUGUUUUUCAGUUAAUGUCAACUCCUACAACACCCACCAGGAGACAUCAAGAAAUUACAGAGGAAGCUACAAGAGAUGUCAGUACUUUCAUCAUAGACAUGUUCUUCUGUGCUGCAAAUGGCAUGUUUCCAUUAAAGUCACCACAGUGGUCCUCUUUUUGUGA